UUUUUGUACCCUUAAAUCCUGUGGCUUAUUUGUAUUGCUAUUAUGCAUAGGAACCUUAGCUGUGAACAAGACUCCAUUGUGCAUCCGGUUUAUAAAUACUGGAGGAAAAGAAAGUCUUCCCCCAUCGGGAGUCUAGGCAUACGAUGAGAGACGUUCAGUACGCUUCUGUGGAGAGCGCAAGCAAACAAAAGGAAAAAACGGAUCCCUCGGAGAACUGGUAGUCUUAGAAUGCCCAUCAUUCCCUUGUGCACCUUGUACAAAGUCUUUUGUAGGGCAUUGCAAUGAAAGGCUCAUAUUAAAGACAAGGAGGUGCUUUUGCAGAAGUUUAUGGAAGCUCCUGCUAAGGGCCCAGGUCAGGUGCAGAUAAAAUAUGAAGAUCCUUAUUUGAAGACGUAAUAUGUAAGGAGUAAAGGCUGAUCGAAGAUAGGAUCUAUUCUCAGGGUAGUGAAUGAGAAAUGAGAGGUCAGGUGGCAAAAACCUCAGAAAACAGUGAAGGAGAUUUCCCAUGAAGUUAUGUGAUGUUAUAAGAGACUGGGAACUCUUGGGUCAUUGCGGGGGUUGUCCGUUUACUGCUUUGCCAAUAUUCAGUGCAGUUUGCAGUACUGCCAUUUCUCUUUAAUUUAGACUACUUGUUUGUCUGUUCAUUUACCUUAGGCUUUAUGAAUUAGCAUGCAAAUUGUAGCACAUACUGAUAUUUAACUUUCUGUUGUGUAUUUAGCUUAUCUAUUUAUUUCCCAGAACGCUCAGCUCUUUCUACGUUGUUAAGGUCAGUGGUCGUUAGUUACAUCUAUCCAUCUCGUCUUAACUCUGGACAGGCCGACAUGAAGCUAUUUGUUUAACCAUUUCGGUAUCCCCGUCACCCUCUUGCCGUUGAUUGAGUCUGCUGAAGAGACGUACAUCUAUGUGGCCACACUUGAUUUGUUGCAGGUCAUUUUUUUUCCCCCGUACAAUUCUUCCUUGUCAUCGGUGAACUGCUUCAUCUCGGCGCUGCGCUCUCCCUUCAGCUCAUGUGUUGACCUCCGCCGUUGCCAGACGCACCAGAUGGAAGCAAAGUUGUGUGCCCAUUGUGCCACCGAUUGCAUCGCAGCCCAGGACACUGUGUGCCAGCUGGCUCCUAAGUGA
rnacentral:lncRNA from 1 species